rnacentral:lncRNA from 1 species
CGGAAUCCGGUGUCACAAUAUCACGGACGGACUAAGAUUACUACAACAAAUAUCUGAAAGAAAUACAAUCUGUCUCGAAAUCUAAUGAAAAUAGAGUAUAUAAUAAAGUAGAAGAGAACGCCGGGCCUGCGGACGCCUGCAGGACUACCUCGGGAUCUCUGGCUGGACUGAAGGCAGGAUCCCCAAGUGCUACUAUCCAAAAACUGCUCCAAAAUUUGCACAUAGUGCAGAGUGUAGCAUCAGCACAACCGACCCCAUGUGAUGGUAAGUGCCUGGCCUAACCCCGGCGAGGUAGUGACAAGGCUAGGACCAGACUCCAGAUAAACCUGUGCAGUUAUAUAAUAUACAGCGGAAAAUAAAUAGGAAUAAACAAUUAACAUGGGAGGGGUACAUGCUACGAGGUAAAUAUCGAAUCCAGCAGAAACUUAAGAGAAAUAUGAGAGAACAAUUCAGGAUUUACAACAAAACCAUAAUAACACUAUUGCGGCGCGAAACCCGAUCCCUAUCAUUUAACACUGUUGCGACGUGCAACCCGAUCCAUUUAUAUCACUGUUGCGGCGUGCAACCCGAUCCAAUAUAAUAUUGUUGCGGCGUGCAACCCAAUCCAACAUAACAUUGUUGCGGCGUGCAACCCGUUCCAUAUAUAGUAUUGUUGUGGCGUGCGACCCGAUCCAACAUAACAUUGUUGCCGCGUGCAACCCAUUCCAUAUAUAGUAUUGUUGCGGCGUGCAACCCCAUCCAACAUAACAUUUAUAUACCUUUAGCAACAACCAUACCAAGAGUCCCAACAAGGGAUCAAAAUAAGCUACACUAUCCCAGCAAGGGAUUCGACGGUAAAAGUAAAUACGUCCCGACAAGGGAUAAACAGCUAUAACCAAUCUUAACCCAACUUCUACUCAUCUCAGCUAACACCAAUACUCAAUCAUAAGUAAUUUCCAUGAAAACAAACUUUAUCCUUGCUCAAUAUCGAGAAUCAUCAAUUAAAGCAUCUGUAGUACUAUUUAAAAACACAAAAUAAAUUACAAUUUAAGACUCACGGUCAUGCUUGACACCAACGUAUAGAUACUCGUUACCAUGCCUAUACGUCAUACUCAACAAGAAGCAAAUAGCAAAUAGGACACAACUCCUAAUCCCUCAAGCUAAGGUUAGACCGAACACUUACCUCGAACUUCCACGACCAACUCA